GCGGAAGGCCCUUCGGGGUACUCGAGCGGCGAACGGGUGAGUAACACGUGAGCAACCUGCCCUAGGCUUUGGGAUAACCCCGGGAAACCGGGGCUAAUACCGAAUAUUCACUUGCGGACGCAUGUUUGUGGGUGGAAAGUUUUUCGGCUUGGGAUGGGCUCGCGGCCUAUCAGCUUGUUGGUGGGGUGAUGGCCUACCAAGGCGACGACGGGUAGCCGGCCUGAGAGGGCGACCGGCCACACUGGGACUGAGACACGGCCCAGACUCCUACGGGAGGCAGCAGUGGGGAAUAUUGCACAAUGGGCGGAAGCCUGAUGCAGCGACGCCGCGUGAGGGAUGACGGCCUUCGGGUUGUAAACCUCUUUCAGCAGGGACGAAGCGCGAGUGACGGUACCUGCAGAAGAAGCGCCGGCCAACUACGUGCCAGCAGCCGCGGUAAGACGUAGGGCGCGAGCGUUGUCCGGAUUUAUUGGGCGUAAAGAGCUCGUAGGCGGCUUGUCGCGUCGACUGUGAAAACCCGUGGCUCAACUGCGGGCCUGCAGUCGAUACGGGCAGGCUAGAGUUCGGUAGGGGAGACUGGAAUUCCUGGUGUAGCGGUGAAAUGCGCAGAUAUCAGGAGGAACACCGGUGGCGAAGGCGGGUCUCUGGGCCGAUACUGACGCUGAGGAGC
rnacentral:rRNA from 1 species